rnacentral:rRNA from 1 species
AUUGAACGCUGGCGGCAGGCCUAACACAUGCAAGUCGAGCGGUAGAGAGGUGCUUGCAUCUCUUGAGAGCGGCGGACGGGUGAGUAAUGCCUAGGAAUCUGCCUAGUGGUGGGGGAUAACGUUCGGAAACGGACGCUAAUACCGCAUACGUCCUACGGGAGAAAGCGGGGGAUCUUCGGACCUCGCGCCAUUAGAUGAGCCUAGGUCGGAUUAGCUAGUUGGUGAGGUAAUGGCUCACCAAGGCGACGAUCCGUAACUGGUCUGAGAGGAUGAUCAGUCACACUGGAACUGAGACACGGUCCAGACUCCUACGGGAGGCAGCAGUGGGGAAUAUUGGACAAUGGGCGAAAGCCUGAUCCAGCCAUGCCGCGUGUGUGAAGAAGGU